UUCACGUGCGUUAAUAUUGCGAAAAUUUGAAUAAAAGGCGAAAAUGCUCAAUUUUCGCAAGAUCAAUUAAAUAGCAAUAAUGGGAUUUAGAAUAAGGUUAUGCAAAAAGUAAUAUGAAUAGGAUUAGAAAAAAAUUUCGGACCGAGAAUCGAAAAUAUUUUGAUAACUAUGAUAAUGAAAAUGAGCAAAAUUGAGAGCUUUUUUUUUUUAAA